AGCUUGCUCUUAUGAAGUUAGCGGCGGACGGGUGAGUAACACGUGGGUAACCUGCCCAUAAGACUGGGAUAACUCCGGGAAACCGGGGCUAAUACCGGAUAAUAUUUUGCGCCUCAUGGCGCGAAAUUGAAAGGCGGCUUCGGCUGUCACUUAUGGAUGGACCCGCGUCGCAUUAGCUAGUUGGUGAGGUAACGGCUCACCAAGGCGACGAUGCGUAGCCGACCUGAGAGGGUGAUCGGCCACACUGGGACUGAGACACGGCCCAGACUCCUACGGGAGGCAGCAGUAGGGAAUCUUCCGCAAUGGACGAAAGUCUGACGGAGCAACGCCGCGUGAGUGAUGAAGGCUUUCGGGUCGU
rnacentral:rRNA from 1 species